rnacentral:rRNA from 1 species
AGCAGCCGCGGUAAUUCCAGCUCCAAUAGCGUAUAUUAAAGUUGUUGCAGUUAAAAAGCUCGUAGUUGAAUUUCGGGAUCAAAUUGUUGGUCGUGCCUCGGUACGCACUGGUAUUAUUGGUUCCUACCUUCUGAAGAACCGCGAUGUCAUUAAUUUGGUGUCGUGGGGAAUCAGGACUGUUACUUUGAAAAAAUUAGAGUGUUUAAAGCGGGCUUACGCUUGGAUACAUUAGCAUGGAAUAAUGAAAUAGGACGUUUGAUUCUAUUUUGUUGGUUUCUAGGAUUGACGUAAUGAUUAAUAGGGAUAGUUGGGGGCAUUAGUAUUCAAUUGUCAGAGGUGAAAUUCUUGGAUUUAUUGAAGACUAACUACUGCGAAAGCAUUUGCCAAGGAUGUUUUCAUUAAUCAAGAACGAAAGUUAGGGGAUCGAAGACGACCAGAUACCGUCGUAGU